rnacentral:rRNA from 1 species
UACGUAGGGUGCGAGCGUUAAUCGGAAUUACUGGGCGUAAAGAGUGCGUAGGCGGUUCUUGAAGUCCGCUAUGAAAGCCCCGGGCUUAACCUGGGAAUGGCAGUGGAAACUGGAGGACUUGAAUUGAGCAGAGGGGGGUGGAAUGCCGCGUGUAGCAGUGAAAUGCGUAGAGAUGCGGCGGAACACCGAUGGCGAAGGCAGCCCCCUGGGCUUAAAUUGACGCUGAGGCACGAAAGCGUGGGGAGCAAACAGG